GGAGGGAGAUUGUGGUUCCUCUUUAUGUCUGACCAGAACAGUCGAUCUUGUGUUAUUAAAACAGCUCCUACCUGCCCCUGAGUGAGGGGCACACGUAUUAAAAUACAGCCAUGAAACAUGUGUUUAGUUAUGAUAGCGCUUAUGUAGUUUUAAAUGCUGUUUCUUUGGAACGAAGGAUAUGGAUGAAUGCAUUUGAAGGCACACUGGUGAUUGGCAAAUAUUUCUGUCUCUUUGACCCUGCUCCUGGUGGUCUUGUCUUCAUUAGGGAGAAAAAAAUGUGUGUUUGUAAGAGGCCAUGCUUUUUACAUUACUGUCUCAAAGUUGGCUGAAAUGGACAAGUUUAGGCAAAUCCUGGCCAAGGUUCCAGGACUCCCUUUGUCUGAGACACACAGGAACCAAGGUUCGAGAAAUCCCUUUGUUCAAGAGAUGGACAAGUCUGGGAGCUAUGAAAGAGAGAGAAGAUGCUGAUUAAUGGCCCUUAAGUGGUCUUUUUGUGUGGGCCUAUCUCAAGGAAGAUGGCCAUCUCCGAGGAAUUCACAUGACUCUGACCCGAGCCUUCCAGAAAUGUCACGAAGGCUGGGAAGAAGUAGGAAAAAAGGGCACGUACAAACCCCAAAUUGAGGUUUUCUGACACCAGAUGCCUCACUACGGAAACAAGGAGUUUUUCUGUCAUCAUAUGCCUCUCUAUGUGAGUGCCUGCAUGCUGAAGAAGAUGCCUGCAUGCUGAAGAACCUUUUAGGUAACUGACCUCAGAUUCCUCCAUCGUCGUCCUACUGCUGCCUACUGUCUCUCCUGGGAUUGCUGCUCGAGACUCUGCUUCUUGAGACCACGGUACUCUGACCGCCUUCUCUGCGCUGCACCGAUCUGCUGCUUGUGGCCUGCUACUCUGCUGCUGCUCUCCCCUACCAACGUAACAACGUACUACAGGUCGCUGCUGCAGGCAGGAGGUUACUAUUCCCCGCUUUUAAGCAAUUCUUGCCUCUUUUCCUCCUUUUUCUAUCGCCUACUUUCCCGUCCCCAUCACCCUAAUUUUGAUAUUCGUCGCUCUCCCUUCCCAUCCCCUCAAUUGUCUAUUAUUUCCAAUAAACUGGUCGAAUCAACAUUUGAAUGUUCUUCU
rnacentral:lncRNA from 1 species